rnacentral:rRNA from 1 species
UGGGGAAUAUUGGGCAAUGGGCGCAAGCCUGACCCAGCAACGCCGCGUGAGGGAAGAAGGUUUUCGGAUUGUAAACCUCUGUCGCAGGGGACGAAGGAAGUGACGGUACCCUGUAAGAAAGCCCCGGCUAACUACGUGCCAGCAGCCGCGGUAAUACGUAGGGGGCGAGCGUUGUCCGGAAUUACUGGGCGUAAAGGGAGCGUAGGCGGUCGAUUAAGUUAGAUGUGAAACCCCCGGGCUUAACUUGGGG